rnacentral:rRNA from 1 species
AUUGAACGCUGGCGGCAUGCCUUACACAUGCAAGUCGAACGGUAACAGGUCUUCGGAUGCUGACGAGUGGCGAACGGGUGAGUAAUACAUCGGAACGUGCCCGAUCGUGGGGGAUAACGAAGCGAAAGCUUUGCUAAUACCGCAUAAGAUCUAAGGAUGAAAGCAGGGGAUCGCAAGGCCUUGCGCGAACGGAGCGGACGAUGGCAGAUUAGGUAGUUGGUGGGAUAAAAGCUUACCAAGCCGACGAUCUGUAGCUGGUCUGAGAGGACGACCAGCCACACUGGGACUGAGACACGGCCCAGACUCCUACGGGAGGCAGCAGUGGGGAAUUUUGGACAAUGGGCGAAAGCCUGAUCCAGCCAUGCCGCAUGCAGGAUGAAGGCCUUCGGGUUGUAAACUGCUUUUGUACGGAACGAAAAGACUCUUUCUAAUAAAGAGGGUCCAUGACGGUACCGUAAGAAUAAGCACCGGCUAACUACGUGCCAGCAGCCGCAGUAA